UUAACCGACGAAACAAAUUAGAUUGAAUGUACUCGGUCAAGAUUUCAUCUUCUUCAGCCGUCCACCUCCCUCUCUUUAUGCCCACUAUCUCACAGCAAGGGGCUCUUCCCAUUAUUCUUCAGGUUUCAGAUCAUGUACUCGGUCAAGAUUUCAUCUUGUUCAGCCGUCCACUUUCUAGAGAUUAAAGACGGUCUGCAAAAGUUGUUCUGCAUCUGCAAAAGUUGAUCUCAAUGAGAUUAAAGACGGUCCAAUGGAUCCUAGACUUGAAAUUGAAGAGUUAUCUAUAAAAUUUUCUCAACGGCAAGGACGGAAGGUUUCUGCAGCUUUUCUAGAUGGAUGGAUGCGGUUCUUUUGUCCUUGAAUCAUACAACAGGAGUGGUGUUUUCAUGGAACUAUUCACUUCACACAGUACCUCCUCGAGUUUCUGAUGAUCAGAAGAAAUCAAGACCAUCUGAAUUUGCAGGAAACUUAAAAGCUUUGGCUGAAAGAUCUGAAAGAUGUCAAAGUUGCAAUCUUGAAGAAGAGUAUAUUACAUGAUGAGUGGCAGCCUGAGCUUUUCGACCAGAAGACUUUGCUGCAUUCCAGCGACUCUGGUGAUUUCCACACAGCAAUUCGCUUUGAUUUAGAAUGGCGGUGAAAAUCUUUGCAGUUGGAACUAGUGCUAAUGCAAUUCAGGGCUUACCUGAUCAGGAGAUGUAAACUAAUAUGUUAUACUUUAGCUAUCUGCAGUGGGAUGAACUUUUCUUGGAACGAACAUUUUCUAUGGACUACUUAGAUGUGGGAAGAGUUGCAGAUUGAGAUGGAUCAACUACUUGAGGUCUGACUUGAAGCGAGGCAAUAUAACUGCAGAAGAGGAAGAACUGAUAAUUAAUCUGCAUGCAUCUCUCGGCAACAGGUGACCCAGUAUUCCUCACAACAUGCACGACUGUCUUUUCCUCCUCUUUUCUUUUUCCCUGGAGAAUGCCCGCCCCCUUUUUGUAAUCAUCUCUAAUUUGUUUCGUCGGUUAAUUGCAAAAGAUUAAACCAGUGUGACA